AACGAACGCUGGCGGCAUGCCUAACACAUGCAAGUCGAACGAGACCUUCGGUUCUAGUGGCGCACGGGUGCGUAACGCGUGGGAACCUGCCCUUAGGUUCGGAAUAACUCCCCGAAAUGGGUUCUAAUACCGGAUAAUGUCUUCGGACCAAAGAUUUAUCGCCUUUGGAUGGGCCCGCGUUGGAUUAGCUAGUUGGUAGGGUAAAAGCCUACCAAGGCGACGAUCCAUAGCUGGUCUGAGAGGAUGAUCAGCCACACUGGGACUGAGACACGGCCCAGACUCCUACGGGAGGCAGCAGUGGGGAAUAUUGGACAAUGGGCGAAAGCCUGAUCCAGCAAUGCCGCGUGAGUGAUGAAGGCCUUAGGGUUGUAAAGCUCUUUUACCCGGGAUGAUAAUGACAGUACCGGGAGAAUAAGCUCCGGCUAACUCCGUG
rnacentral:rRNA from 1 species